CAGUAGCCCCCCAGUGCCCCCUUAGUUCCCCCUAGUGCCUCCCAGUGGCCCCCCAGUUCCUCCCAGUGCCCCCUCAGCGGCGGGGGCCCCUCACCGGGGGCCGGGGGGAGACAGGCCCGGGCUCAGUCCUCCUCCUCGUCCUCGCCGCCCCGAGCUACCCGGGGCAGGAGGAGGAGGAGGAGGAAGUCCUCGAUCUUCAGCCCCAGGAUGUAGUCGAGCUUCAUCUUGCCCUCGUCCAGCACCCCGAUGCGCACCAGGCGCC
rnacentral:lncRNA from 1 species